CAUGUGUGCAAAAUCAGUCGAACUGUGGCUUUAUCCGAUUUUUACACUAUCCUGGACAUCUAUUUAUGUUCCACAUUUUCGCACAAUCUGCAUCAUCAGCUAGCGCAAUUGUAUUGCUAACAUUGCCGCUAUUUCCUGAUAACUGGAACAUUAAGGCUAAAUCACCUUAUCACUAUGCCGAGCUUUUCCUACUGGUUUUCUACACUAGCUGCUUAUUUGCAUCCAAAUGCACCAUUGGCAGUCCUUUUUCCAUAAGAAAAAUACUCUGUGGCGCGGUGCCGAUUUUGUGUGGAUAUAUUUGUGUCACGCUAGUCAAAUUGAUCUGUUUUGAAAAAGAUAUUGAGUUCAAUUAUGCGGACUCUAUCUUGCUUUGAAUGUGCUGCUUAACCAUAGGUCGUCAGUGGUUUUUGGACAUGGAAAUUAAUCCUCAAAAGUAUGGGCAAUAUUUCCGAAAAGAGCGCAUCAUAGCGGCCAUAGAAAAACAACCUGGCGAAAUCAAGAUGGUGCGAGUAAAAAUAACCGUGAACAAAACGAAUUAAAAUAUUUUCCAACACCUACAAGAAUGGGUUUAAACAUACAAAAAUAUGUAAUUUGGACUUGGCUCUGUGAAAAUGCUGAUAUAUCAUCAUUUCCUGGUGAAACUUUAAUGUGACAAAGAGCUACGUACGAUGUCCAUAUAUAAGCGCAUACAUAGCGCUAGAUGUACAGCACUGAACACAAACAGUUUGCUGUUAAACGAUGCACGAUCGGGCUGGCAAAAAUACACCGAUUUUAACGUAUGUUUAUUUUAUGUGGUAGCAACAACGUCUAGAUUGGGGUGGUUUAGUGGCCAGAAUUUGGUCACGUGCAGCGUAUGAAUGAGCCGAGUCUUCCUAAAUUCAUUUCUAUCUCCUUAAAAAAAGGGGAGAAUAUGACAGGAAUAGGAAGACUCAAGACCUGGCUCUCGAGAGGUUAUGAUUUGGAGGAAA